ACUGGUCGACACAUCUAGAGAGUAUCGGACUGAGUCGGAAUCGUUUCUGCGCGAAAUGGAUGUAGAAAUGGACUCGGCGCACUCAAAUAAGCAAAACUGUAGUUUUGCUAGAUUCGGGCACCCAGAAUUGGCCUUGGGUCGUCCAGAAGUUGAGUGCAGAACUGAGCAGAACUGGAAGCCAAUUCAGGUUCAUGUUUCAGGCGCCCGGAUGAGGGUUCGAAAAGUUCACCUCGUGAGUAUCGUUUGCGCUGACACGUGGCUCGUGGUUGGUGAGGUCCGCCGGAGCCGGAUACGGGCGCAGCACACCGCGGGCGGAGAGUCCGAGGAAGAAGCUUUGUGUAGCCUGGAGCAUUCGGGCGCCCAUAAUGUGGGUCCGGGCGCCCGGAAGUGCCCGAGUCUGCAGGGACACCAGAUUGCAGCAGCUGUUCUUGGGGCUUAUUCUACCAUUCCAGCACCCUAUAAAUAGGGGGAACUCGACUCCUGUGACCUCUUUUCUCCCUCUCUUCACAGUGAAGACUUAGAAUUGCAUCUAACACCUCAAAUUACUCCGAUUUCCCCAAAUUGCUCACUCUCUACUUUGAGGAGUGCUGUUCUAGCAGUUUUCCAGUAGCGACCGUCGGUAUUUCGGCUCGUGUGCGACGUAGGAAGCUCCGUUUUCCACGAAACUUGGUUUGUUGGAUUCUAGACUUCAAGAGGAAUCCGUGGAGCCCAAUUUUACAGAUUUUGGUUGAGGUUAGCUUGGUCGAUUUUGGGUUUUUCUUUGCUGCUGAUGUUUUGGUCCUGAAUUUGAGUUUCUUUGGUUGUUAUGGACCAAUUCGUGGAGAGAGCUGGAAUUUCGGCCAGUGGAAGUUGUGCCAUCAUUUUCCUACUGAUUUGGAGGGUGUUCAUCAUCUGAAUUGAGAAUUUGGGGAUUGAUAGAUCUUCAGAGGAAAUUGAGUUUGGACCAGAGGGUGAUAUUCCAUCUUGGUUUACUGGUUUGGGACUUUGCUACACCUGAUUUGGGUUGUGAAAGAGCCUUGGAGAAGUAUUGUUACUGUUGCAGCGUGAUCUCGGCUGAACCUCCUGGUGUUUUCGGGACCUUCUUGCUGCCGUGGAAUUCCUUUGAAGAGCCGUCGUCUUCGGCUGCUACUGUUGCUGAUAUUGAUCGUGGCAAGGGCGUUGCAAGUUAGAGCCCUUCCAGACGAGUCGCAGAGCUAGAGGAGCACCAGUUACAGGUAGUUGUAGUUUCUGAGUCUUUACAUACAGUUGUUGUAUCUCGCCAGAGCGUACCCUGGAUGAAAUGUAUGUAUUGAACCACAGUUUUUAUAUAUGGUUUAUUUUUCUAGCUACUCUAUA